GAUCUGUGUCCUGUACAUCAGGCGCCUAAUGAGUACUUGUCCAAUGCAGAGUGCGUAUUUUAAAAGGCUUAUUUAAAGGACUGUGCAGCCGCCACUGGAGUGGCCCUUGGCCAGGAUGCAGUUCUAGAGCCGUCCACAAGAUGCUGCUGUCUGCUAGCGCUAGAGGAUGAUGCCCGGCUGAGGAAGGGUGGGUCGGGGAAGAAACCCCCCAUCCCAGGCCUACUCAUGCUCAUCGCUCACCUCUGCUGUGGCAAUGGCCUCCUGACGCACAGACGUUCUUGCUUCCGGUCCAUCUACAGUCCCUUCUCCGCGAAGCAGCCAAGAGAGCAGUGGGGCAACGUAUGUGGUGUAACCAAUCCCAUAUCCAGAUACUGACCAUUUCAAAUCCCAGAAGAAGCAUCCUCCAGAGGCUCCUCUUCACGUGUAGCCAUGUUUCUGAUUUUUAUUACCAUAGAUUUGUCUCUUUUUGGGGAGCCUA